rnacentral:rRNA from 1 species
GAAGGUGAUGCCUGCCCGGUGACCUGAGGUUUAACGGCCGCGGUAUCCUAACCGUGCAAAGGUAGCGCAAUCAAUUGUCCCAUAAAUCGAGACCAGUAUGAAUGGCUAAACGAGGUCUUAACUGUCUCUUGCAGGCAAUCGGUGAAAUUGAUCUCCCUGUGCAAAAGCAGGGAUAAACCCAUAAGACGAGAAGACCCUGUGGAACUUUAAAAACAGCGGCCACCCCAAUUUACAUACACACCCACCGGGCUCCCUUAUACAUAAGCCACUGGCUCGCAUUUUUUCGGUUGGGGCGACCUUGGAGAAAAACAAAUCCUCCAAAAAUUAGACCUUAACUCUAGACCGAGAGCAACCCCUCAACGUGCUAACAGCACCCAGACCCAAUAUAAUUGAUCAAUGGACCAAGCUACCCCAGGGAUAACAGCGCAAUCUCCUUUAAGAGUCCAUAUCGACAAGGAGGUUUACGACCUCGAUGUUGGAUCAGGACAUCCUAGUGGUGCAGAAGCUGCUAAGGGUUCGUUUGUUCAACGAUUAACAGUCCU